AGCAACUACCAUCAUGUUCACUUGUGUGCUUAUAUUGCUGACUUUAACUCAAGGUAACAGAGCUAAAGAUGUCAUCACCCCAUACAGUGAUGCAGCAUUUGCCACUGAGACUGAGAGAGUGAAACUCUCUUGUAACUACACUGGUUCUGUUGAGAGUCUUCACUGGUAUCGACAAAUUGCAGGUUUAACACCACAGUUCCUCAUCCUGGAUUAUUCAGGAUAUGUUGUUGAAGCUAAUCCUCCAGUUUCUGGAAUAUCCAUCAGUUCCAGAAAAGAAGAUAAGAGUGUGGAUCUGAUUAUCUCCUCUGCUGCUGUAUCAGACUCUGCUCUGUAUUACUGUGCUCUGCAGCCCACAGUGACAGGAAACACUCAACACACCGUACAAGAAUCUGACUGACUCUAUAGUAUUAAAAUGAGAUGUCAAAAACAACAAACAGCAUCCACAUAGAUUAACGUUACAUUCAAAUU